rnacentral:rRNA from 1 species
UACGUAGGGUGCAAGCGUUAAUCGGAAUUACUGGGCGUAAAGCGUGCGCAGGCGGUUAUGUAAGACAGUUGUGAAAUCCCCGGGCUCAACCUGGGAUUGCAUCUGUGACUGCAUAGCUAGAGUACGGGUAGAGGGGGGAUGGAAUUCCGCGUGUAGCAGUGAAAUGCGUAGAUAUGCGGAGGAACACCGAUGGCGAAAGGCAAUCCCCUGGGAUAACACUGACG